GCCUACGGGAGGCAGCAGUGGGGAAUAUUGCACAAUGGGGGAAACCCUGAUGCAGCGACGCCGCGUGAGCGAAGAAGGUUUUCGGAUCGUAAAGCUCUGUCCUUGGAGAAGAUAAUGACGUUCCAAGAGAGUCCCGUUCGCC
rnacentral:rRNA from 1 species